AUUUACAUAGCUUAUAAAAGCAUCAUAUUGAAGCUAUGAAGAAGACUUUGGUCUGUAAAUA
rnacentral:tRNA from 1 species